rnacentral:tRNA from 1 species
UUAGUUGAAGCCAAAAAGAGGCGUAUCACUGUUAAUGAUAUCAUUGAAUUAUAAAUUCCAACUAAG